rnacentral:rRNA from 1 species
GAGUAAUUUAAUUCGAAUUCCCCAAUACAGUGAGUCGGCGAGUGUUUGAACGCACAAUGCGCCAGCCAGUAUUUUGGCGGGCAUCCAUGUCCGAGCGUCAUUUCACCCAUCCAGCCCCUGGCUUGUGUUGGGGACCUGCGGCUGUCCCCAGGCCCUAAAAACCAGUGGGGGGCUCGCUGUCCUCCCGUAGGUAGUAGUAUUUUCUCGCUAAGGGCGGGAAGCGGGGUCCCCCCGCUAAACAGCCCUUAUAACCCAAGGUUGACCUCGGAUCAGGUAGGAAUACCCGCUGAACUUAAGCAUAUCAAUAGCGAGAAGCUACG